rnacentral:lncRNA from 1 species
AAUGAUCUCAAAAAAAAAAAAAAAAGAUCUGACCUCCAAUACAUGAGCAUGUAGUCUUUUGUUCUCUUUAAAUACUGUAUGACCCAUUUGGCUGCUUCAAAUGGUCUAAUCUUAAAUUUCUUAAAUAUCUGCCCAACAUUCCAAAAAUUGUACGCAAUACCUGAACGCAUACAAAACUGAAUAUACAUUAGACUCCCUACUACUUAUCAUAAGGAAUCUUCUGCAUUUACUUUUCUUUAAAGUUAUUCAUUGGGCACUUUUUGAGACUAAACUUGUCUCCCUUAGCNNNNNNNNNNNCUUGUCAUUGACAAACAAAACCAAGAAAAUAUAUUUGCUCCCACACAACUCAUGAUAUAUACAAUCAUCAACCAAAUUCAC